rnacentral:rRNA from 1 species
GAUGAACGCUGGCGGCGUGCCUAGUACAUGCAAGUCGAGCGAACGGACGAGAAGCUUGCUUCUCUGAUGUUAGCGGCGGACGGGUGAGUAACACGUGGAUAACCUACCUAUAAGACUGGGAUAACUUCGGGAAACCGGAGCUAAUACCGUAUAAUAUUUUGAACCGCAUGUUUCAAAAGUGAAAGACGGUCUUGCUGUCACUUCUAGAUGGAUCCGCGCUGCAUUAGCUAGUUGGUAAGGUAACGGCUUACCAAGGCAACGAUGCAUAGCCGACCUGAGAGGGUGAUCGGCCACACUGGAACUGAGACACGGUCCAGACUCCUACGGGAGGCAGCAGUAGGGAAUCUUCCGCAAUGGGCGAAAGCCUGACGGAGCAACGCCGCGUGAGUGAUGAAGGUCUUCGGAUCGUAAAAAUCUGUUAUUAGGGAAGAACAUAUGUGUAAGUAACUGUGCACAUCUUGACGGUACCUAAUCAGAAAGCCACGGCUAACUACGUG